AAACAACAUCCACGCCUGCUUCCCUCUGGUCCCUCUGUUGUGUAAGGACAAAUCUCUGUAACAGCCCAUUACAUACAUUUCCUGUGGCUGUUUCUCCCUUUAAACCCUAACAGGGUCUAGUGAAUGUAGCUCAAGUUGGCCUCGAACUCACGAUGCCCCUGCUUCCGCUUCCUCAGCAGGAGCACGGGGACUUCAGGUCGGCAGCACCCACAUCACAGAGUUCUUUCAGCCAUGCUGCCAGGAGGUAGAUGUGGUCAGCUGACAAGUACUAAUUCUGUGACUUUCGUGACCCGUGAAAGCCUUCUGAGCAGGUCUCCAGUGGCCUUUACAAACACUCAGUGACCCUGGCUACCAGCAGAAUCUGGGGAACAGUGUAUUCUCCAGAGAACUUCUUACUCCCUUCCGAAGAACUGGGGAAAAUGUUACUAAAGACUGUGAGCUAUGGCCUUUUGCUAUCCUUAUGUGCGUGUGACUCAUCAGUGUAUCUGUGCUUCUAUAUAGAAAGAGCACUCUCAGAAAACAAUGAGGGUAGCUGGGCCAUGGUGGUUGGUGAAUGCCUGUAAUCCCAGCACUCACGAGGCAGAGGCAGUAGGAUCUCUGAUUCAGAAGGCCAGCCUGGUUUACAAAGCAUGUCCAGGACAGCCAAGAGCCAAGGCUGCACAGGAAAACCCUGCCUUGAAACAAUAAAUAAAUAAAUAAAUAAAAACAAUGAGUGUAUAGAAAACUAAAAUCAAGCUGGGCUUGGUGGCAUCAGCCUUUAAUCUCAGCACUUGGGAGGCAGAGGCAGGUGAACCUGUAAAUUCAAGGACAGCCUGGUGAACAAUGUGAGUUCUAGGACAGCCAGGGCCACACAAAGAAAUCCUGUCUGGAAAAACCCAAAAGAAAAGAAAACUAAAAUUACUCCAGCUAGUUAGGAGGACUGAAAGUCUGAGGAACACAGUAGGAUUGCAAGUCUGAGGACAGCCUGGCAAACACUGAGAGGUCAUCUGAGGGGGGGAAAAAAAGAAAGAAAAGCCGACAAAGAAAACAAGAAGGAACAAAGCCUGAGUAGCAGAAACAUGAAAAGCAAGUUGCCAUGCGGUGGUAUAGGUGCCACUCCGUGGCAGAGCCCCGGCCUUGCACGCCUUCCCUGUCCCCAGCACAGCAACUGUGCCAGCUUGAACG